rnacentral:rRNA from 1 species
AACGAACGCUGGCGGCAUGCCUAACACAUGCAAGUCGAACGAACACACCGGGUCUAUGGGCGCACGGGUGCGUAACGCGUGGGAACCUGCCCUUAUGUUCGGCAUAACUCCCCGAAAGGGGUGCUAAUACCGGAUAAUGUCUUCUGACCAAAGAUUUAUCGCGUUUGGAUGGGCCGGAGUGGGAUUAGCUAGUUGGUAGGGUAAAAGCCUACUAAGGGGCCCAUCCAUAGCUGGUCUGAGAGGAUGAUCAGCCACACUGGGACUGGGAAACGGCCCAGAAUCCUACGCGAGGCAGGAGUGGGGAAUAGUGGACAAUGGGGGAAAGGAUGAUGCAGCUAUGCUGGGUGAGUGAUGAAGGUCUGAGGGUUGUAAAGCUCUUUUAACCGGGAUGAUAAUGACAGUACCGGGAGAAUAAGCCCCGGCUAACUACGUG